UAGGUGGCAAGCGUUGUCCGGAUUUAUUGGGCGUAAAGCGAGUGCAGGCGGCUCGAUAAGUCUGAUGUGAAAGCCUUCGGCUCAACCGGAGAAUUGCAUCAGAAACUGUCGAGCUUGAGUACAGAAGAGGAGAGUGGAACUCCAUGUGUAGCGGUGAAAUGCGUAGAUAUAUGGAAGAACACCGGUGGCGAAGGCGGCUCUCUGGUCUGUUACUGACGCUGAGGCUCGAAAGCAUGGGUAGCGAACAGGAUUAGAUACCCUGGUAGUC
rnacentral:rRNA from 1 species